rnacentral:rRNA from 1 species
GAAUGAAUCCUAUCGGGGGAAGGUGUGUUGUAAAGGAUGAUCCGCCUAUUAAUUUACUCUUAUUAUGUUGGUGUAUAUCUAGUUUAAUAUUAUUGUCUAGUGACUUAAUUUGUGUAGAAUUUAGUUAAGCUAAGUCUAUGUGCUGCAUAUAGGAGUUUUCAUGCGUUACAUUUAUAAAGAGUUAGUUGUAAAGACUAAUUUAUUUAGGACUCGAAAGUAAUGUACAAUGAGUUUGUGUAUG